GGGCCCUCCGCGUCUUUCCUGGCAAACAGCGACAUCCCUAGGCCAACUGCUGCAGUGCAGCAACCGCACAUGCACGCGACUUCCGGGUCUCGUUCGAAUGGUCAAAGUCCAGCCGGGCAAAAGCGGGCAGAGUGUGGAGAGAGAAAGAAAAGGAGGGAUGCAAACAAAGGGGAAGCAAAUGUAAGACGCGAGGAAGAGGAGGACUGCAGGCAACGCCCUGAGCAAGGAAAAACAACUCUAGAAGAAGAGCAGCGAACAGGAUUCCAAAAUGGCUCUCAUUGACAUUUUGCUGACGAAGCACUCGACAGAGUGUGCACGUGAACUACCCUGCAACAUAGGAGAAAACUGAUGUACACACUGCACGGGGAGACCGUGCAAACUCCACCCAGGAAGGCCAGAGUCCAGAUUCGAACUCUGCACCUCUGUACGAUGAGGACAAGCUCUCCCAGCUGGACUGAAACAAGAACUGUGAAGCUGGACUGAAGUAUGACUUUAAUAGGGCAACAGAAAUAAGCUGCUUUCGGCCACCAUCCUUUUCUACGCCCGGGGCUAGGCUCUAAUGCGCCAUGGGAACUUUAUGAGCCGUCAGAUGGGGUUGGACGCCGGGCGCCCACCGGGGUACUUUUGAGGUCGGCGUCGAGAUGAGUGACGCUGAUGAGCGACCGGUCAUAGCCCAGAGCACGCUGAUGGAGGCGAAAGACAAAGCAAAGGAUUUACAUCAGGUGGACGUCAGGAAGGAAAAACACUGACGGAAUACACUAAGGGUUGCCAAAUCCGGUCCUCCAGGGCCGCUAACCUGCGUGUUUAAAUCACGAUGUAUUGUAU